AUACGGAGGAUCCGAGCGUUAUCCGGAUUUACUGGGUUUAAAGGGUGCGCAGGCGGGAGAUUAAGUCGGCGGUGAAAUUUGCAGCUCAACUGUAAAAGUGCCUUCGAAACUGGUUUCCUUGAGUGUAGAUGAAGUAGGCGGAAUUUGUGGUGUAGCGGUGAAAUGCAUAGAUAUCACGAGGAACUCCGAUUGCGCAGGCAGCUUACUAAACUACUACUGACGCUCAGGCACGAAGGCGUGGGGAUCAAACAGGAUUAGAUACCCUGGUAGUCCACGCAGUAAACGAUGAUUACUAGCUGUUUGCGACACAAUGUAAGCGGCUGAGCGAAAGCGUUAAGUAAUCCACCUGGGGAGUACGUUCGCAAGAAUGAAACUCAAAUGAAUUGACGGGG
rnacentral:rRNA from 1 species